rnacentral:rRNA from 4 species
AGAGUUUGAUCAUGGCUCAGAUUGAACGCUGGCGGCAGGCCUAACACAUGCAAGUCGAACGGUAACAGGAAGCAGCUUGCUGCUUUGCUGACGAGUGGCGGACGGGUGAGUAAUGUCUGGGAAACUGCCUGAUGGAGGGGGAUAACUACUGGAAACGGUGGCUAAUACCGCAUAACGUCGCAAGACCAAAGAGGGGGACCUUCGGGCCUCUUGCCAUCAGAUGUGCCCAGAUGGGAUUAGCUUGUUGGUGAGGUAACGGCUCACCAAGGCGACGAUCCCUAGCUGGUCUGAGAGGAUGACCAGCCACACUGGAACUGAGACACGGUCCAGACUCCUACGGGAGGCAGCAGUGGGGAAUAUUGCACAAUGGGCGCAAGCCUGAUGCAGCCAUGCCGCGUGUAUGAAGAAGGCCUUCGGGUUGUAAAGUACUUUCAGCGGGGAGGAAGGUGUUGUGGUUAAUAACCGCAGCAAUUGACGUUACCCGCAGAAGAAGCACCGGCUAACUCCGUGCCAGCAGCCGCGGUAAUACGGAGGGUGCAAGCGUUAAUCGGAAUUACUGGGCGUAAAGCGCACGCAGGCGGUCUGUCAAGUCGGAUGUGAAAUCCCCGGGCUCAACCUGGGAACUGCAUUCGAAACUGGCAGGCUUGAGUCUUGUAGAGGGGGGUAGAAUUCCAGGUGUAGCGGUGAAAUGCGUAGAGAUCUGGAGGAAUACCGGUGGCGAAGGCGGCCCCCUGGACAAAGACUGACGCUCAGGUGCGAAAGCGUGGGGAGCAAACAGGAUUAGAUACCCUGGUAGUCCACGCCGUAAACGAUGUCUACUUGGAGGUUGUGCCCUUGAGGCGUGGCUUCCGGAGCUAACGCGUUAAGUAGACCGCCUGGGGAGUACGGCCGCAAGGUUAAAACUCAAAUGAAUUGACGGGGGCCCGCACAAGCGGUGGAGCAUGUGGUUUAAUUCGAUGCAACGCGAAGAACCUUACCUGGUCUUGACAUCCACAGAACUUUCCAGAGAUGGAUUGGUGCCUUCGGGAACUGUGAGACAGGUGCUGCAUGGCUGUCGUCAGCUCGUGUUGUGAAAUGUUGGGUUAAGUCCCGCAACGAGCGCAACCCUUAUCCUUUGUUGCCAGCGGUCCGGCCGGGAACUCAAAGGAGACUGCCAGUGAUAAACUGGAGGAAGGUGGGGAUGACGUCAAGUCAUCAUGGCCCUUACGACCAGGGCUACACACGUGCUACAAUGGCGCAUACAAAGAGAAGCGACCUCGCGAGAGCAAGCGGACCUCAUAAAGUGCGUCGUAGUCCGGAUUGGAGUCUGCAACUCGACUCCAUGAAGUCGGAAUCGCUAGUAAUCGUGGAUCAGAAUGCCACGGUGAAUACGUUCCCGGGCCUUGUACACACCGCCCGUCACACCAUGGGAGUGGGUUGCAAAAGAAGUAGGUAGCUUAACCUUCGGGGGGGCGCUUACCACUUUGUGAUUCAUGACUGGGGUGAAGUCGUAACAAGGUAACCGUAGGGGAACCUGCGGUUG